rnacentral:rRNA from 1 species
UACAGAGGGGGCAAGCGUUGUUCGGAAUUACUGGGCGUAAAGGGCGCGUAGGCGGCCUUCUAAGUCGAACGUGAAAUCCCCGGGCUCAACCCGGGAAUUGCGUCCGAUACUGGAAGGCUUGAAUUCGGGAGAGGGAUGCGGAAUUCCAGGUGUAGCGGUGAAAUGCGUAGAUAUCUGGAGGAACACCGGUGGCGAAGGCGGCAUCCUGGACCGACACUGACGCUGAGGAGCGAAAGCCAGGGGAGCAAACGGG